GGGCUCGACUUCAGCGACGAAGUACGGUUUGGCAGGGGCAAAGUAGCAGACCUCUUAAACACCUUCUCUGAGUCAAUAUGGUCCAUCUCACUCUUGGAGCGAGGAACUGAAGGCUGGCUUCUGGUGUCCUCACAGUAGGAAUAACGAGGGGAGUAUGAAUCAGAAUCUUCAUCUCUGUUUAGCUUGUGUAUCUGUUUGAACAUUGUCUUGUACCAGUCCUUCGAUCUGUCUGUAUUCCUCAAUGGAAUGCCAAUGUCAUCAACAGAAGUAUCAGCCAUGUGCUGAGGGCUCUUGACAAUUCUUCUCUUCUCCUCCAAUACCCUCCUCUCACUCAGCACCGGCUCCUGGAGUGGCUUGACUUGUGUGAGUGCCAAAUCUACUUUAUCUGAAACUAGUCUGUCUGGCACUGAAUCUGCAAAUGAAAACAAGGCAUUC
rnacentral:lncRNA from 1 species